GAUGAACGCUGGCGGAGGGAAGAAUACAUGCAAGUCGAGCGAACGGACGAGAAGCUUGCUUCUCUGAUGUUAGCGGCGGACGGGUGAGUAACACGUGGAUAACCUACCUAUAAGACUGGGAUAACUUCGGGAAACCGGAGCUAAUACCGGAUAAUAUUUUGAACCGCAUGGUUCAAAAGUGAAAGACGGUCUUGCUGUCACUUAUAGAUGGAUCCGCGCUGCAUUAGCUAGUUGGUAAGGUAACGGCUUACCAAGGCAACGAUGCAUAGCCGACCUGAGAGGGUGAUCGGCCACACUGGAACUGAGACACGGUCCAGACUCCUACGGGAGGCAGCAGUAGGGAAUCUUCCGCAAUGGGCGAAAGCCUGACGGAGCAACGCCGCGUGAGUGAUGAAGGGCUUCGGAUCGUAAAACUCUGUUAUUAGGGAAGAACAUAUGUGUAAGUAACUGUGCACAUCUUGACGGUACCUAAUCAGAAAGCCACGGCUAACUACGUG
rnacentral:rRNA from 1 species